rnacentral:tRNA from 1 species
GUUCCCAUCGUCUAGCCUGGCCUAGGACACCAGGUUUUCAUCCUGGAGACACGGGUUCAAAUCCCGUUGGGAAUA